CCUCUAUUUCCAGGUCUUUGUAUUUUGAAAGUUUCUCCAUUUCUUUUAGAGACACGUUAUCAUCUGCUGGUAUUGAUACAUCAAUUAGAAAGCAUUUAUUUUCUUCAUUAUCUCUGACAACUAUAUCUGGUCUGUUGGCCUUAAUUUCUCUAUCUGUGUGUAUUGGCAUAUCACAGAGUAUGGUUGCUUUCUCGUUUUCUGUGACCUUUUCUGGUGUGUGCAUAUACCAUCUUUUUACUGUUGUUAUUCCAUAAUGUUGGCACAGCUUCCAGUGUAUGUAGGUCCCAACUCUGUCGUGUCUGUGAAUAUAUUCCCUCUUAGCCAGGACUGGGCAGCUAGAGAUAAUAUGAUUCAUUGUUUCUUGUCCAUCUCCACGUAUUAUUAUUAUUAUUAUUAUUAUUAUUAUUAUUAUUAUUAUUAUUAUUAUUAUUAUUAUUAUUAUUAUUAUUAUUCAAUAGUCUUAUUUUUAUCACGUGCUUUCACUGCACUAUCGAGCGCAGCCCUGUGUGCCUUGAGUAUACACUUGUAAGUCCUGCUACUUCGGUUAUGUAUUUGUCUAUAGUUUUUCUCAUACCUAAUGUGCCAACUAUUAUAGGAAUUGUUUCUGUUUUUAGGCUCCCCAUUCGAGUUGCCUCUGUUUCCAGAUCUUUGUAUUUUGAACGUUUCUCCGUUUCUUUUAGAGAAACGCUGUCAUUUGUUGGUAUUGAUAGAUCGAUUAGAGGACAUCUUUUUUGUGGUGAUCUCUGAUAACUACAUCCUUUCUAUAUUAUGCAUCACAACCAUAUGUGCGAGACAUGGCGAUGUUAUAUCAACGGAACAGCCUGCUCGUGAAAUUAACGCGCAAGUGGCUGAGCACUCCACAGACAUGUGUACCCUUAAUGUAGUUCUUGGGGAGAUUCAGCAUGACACAGAGUGUGACAAGUCCGGCCCUUUGAAAUACAGGUACAACAGAAACAGGAAGAAAGAGAGAGAGAAAGUUGUGGUGAAAGAAUACAGCAGGGUUCGCUACCACCCCGUGCCGGAGCCACGUGGAACUUUAGGUGUUUUUGCUCAAUAAACACUCACGACGCCCGGUUUGGGAAUCGAAACCGCGAUCCUUCGACAGCGAGCCCGCUGCCCCAUCCACUGUGCCAUUGCGCCUCCACAAAGAUAAGUAAGGUGUUGGAAGUCGCAGAAGAGGAAAAGUCCGUUUCUUGAAAACGCAUGGGCUUCACUAUUGUCAGUAGGAAUAACUCAACCGCUACAAGAUCACUAUUGAUUGAGCAGGACAUAAAGAUACGUUGAAUAAACCAAAGCUCUAAACACUGUAAGAUUUGUAAUAUCAUACGAUCACAGGUUGAAUACCAAAGGAGAUUGAAAGAAAUGGGAAAUAUCAAAGAGAUAAAGAGAUUUUGGAAGAGUGGCAGCGGCGGCGGUGGUGGUGGUGGUGGUGGUGGUGGUGGUGGUGGUGGUGGUGGUGGUGGUGGUGGUGGUGGUGGUGGUGGUGGUGGUGGUGGCGGUGGUGGUAGUGGUGGUGGUGGUGGUGGUGGAACAUGUUCACAAAAUUGGUUUAUCGGGGAGACCGAAAAAUUCGAGAUAGGUAUUUGGGUGCAAAGUAUCGUGUAAAGAGACCCUGUGAGACCCUUGACAAAUGGCUGCUGUUCUGGUCUUACAGAAUUAACCGGAGCAAGUAAAAUCGAGAGCUCUAUGAGAAGUAAAAUUGAAAUAAUAAUAAUAAUAAUAAUAAUAAUAACAACAACAACAACAAUAAUAAUAAUAACUAAAAAUUUGGGGAUAAUCCGUGGCUUACUAUCCACGCAGUAAGUGCAAAAUAUUGUCUUAACUGGUGCGUCAGACAUAUUGAGAAGAGAAUUGUCGCUGUGAAUUUUCUCUCCUUUUUAUUUUUAUCUUCUUUCUUGACAUUUUUUUUACAUUUUUCAUUUUCUUCUUUUUUCUGUCUUUCAUCCCCUUUUUUUCUAUCUUAUGACUUUGUAAAUAUGAUGUCAUUAUUUUAACAGCCUACCAAUAUAUACAAUAAGUUUCUUUGCUCUAGGUUUCAGGAAGACACUCGGCAAGAAAUGGAAAUAGAAUUGAAAGUAGGGAAUAAGGGCGAUAAUAAUAACUAUUAUUAGUGUCGAUAAAGUAGGUACCAGUUGAGCACUGUGGUAUUCUGUCUAUAAUGGAAAGAACUAGCAUCAUCACCAUCAUUGUCAACAUCAUUAUCAUCAUUAUUAUUAUUCGACUUUGCGUAUAAUCCUGUCGAGAUCGAUGAAGUUAUUACCAGUCGAUGACUGGGCUCCAUGUAAUUGACUAUUUCUCUUUGCCAAAAUUUCAGGCCCUGUAGUAAUAGCAGAAAAAAAUUAUCAGUAGUAGUAGUAGUAGUAGUAGUUAGUGAAGGCGCGUGGCUUAGUGGUUCGGCCAUUCGUCUCACUAUUGUAAGAUCGUGAGUUCAAUUCCCGGCGAUGCGUUGUCUCCUUGAGCAAGAUUCUCUUUAUUUCACGUUGCUCCAGUCUACUUAGCUGUCAAAAAGGAGUAGUACCUGUAAUUCAAAGGGCCAGCCUUGUCACAUUCUGUGUCACGCUGAAUCUCCCUGAGAACUACGUGUCUGUGGAUUACUCAGCCACUUGUACGUAUAUUUCCCAAGCAAGCUGUUCCGUUGAGCGUAUCAGCAGGGACCCUCGUCGUCGUAACCGACGGAGUAGUAGUGGUAGUAGUAGUGGUAGUAGUAGUAGUAGUAGUAGUAGUAGUAGUAGUAGUAGUAGUAGUAGUAGUAGUAGUUUUAGUAGUAGUAGUAGUAGUAGUAGUAGUAGUAGUAGUAGUAGUAGUAGUAGUAGUAGUAGUAGUAGUAGUAGUGGUUUUAGUAGUAGUAGUAGUAGUAGUAGUAGUUAUUGUUGUCGUGGUUGUAACAACACAAAUAUUAGUCACAACAUAACUUCUUUUGAGAAAUGCAGUGAAGACAGCAACGAUGAUUAACGAUCUAAAUUAAUCCGGGAGGGAAUUAAGAUUAAUAAGGUGAAUCCAACAAAUAAAAAAACACACAAAUACUUGAGUAGCGAAACCGGUGAGAAUGUAUCACUUCUGUGACGAAACCAAUCAUUUGAAAACGGAGGAGAAUGAGAAUAGAGGUAUUAGAGUAAAAUGUGGAUGGAUAUCUAGAAAACAAGUAUGUGCGCGCGCACGUGUGUGUGUUUAUGUAUGUAUGUAUGUGUGUAUGUAUGUAUGUGUGUAGGUAUGUAUUACUUGAGCAUUUAAACAAAAAGAAUACAAGAUGGAUUUAAAAGGCUCCAGUUCAAAUCAUGUUCGGAUGUAAAUUUAUAUACAUACAUAUAUAUGUGUGAGUGUGUACAUACAUACAUACAUACACACACACACACACAUAUGUACAUAUAUAUAUAUAUAUAUAUAUAUAUAUAUAUAUAUAUAUAUAUAUAUAUAUAUAUAUAUAUACAUACAUAUAUAUAUAUAUAUGCAUAUGUAUAUAUACAAACAUUUAUUUAUAUAUAUAUAUAUAUAUAUAUAUAUAUAUAUAUAUAUAUAUAUAUAUAUAUAUAUACAUAUAUAUAUAUAUAUAUAUAUAUAUAUAUAUAUAUAUAUAUAUAUACUUUGAUACUUUGAUAGGUUUCGGCCAUUAUUGGCCCAGGCCAUGUCUAACUUAAUAGCACCACCUGGUGAAGUCUUUCAAGUCAGAAUUUGGGCACUAUGGCCCACUCAAGUAGAGAGUUAUUGUUUACAGAGACAUAUCCGGGUGUAGGGGGUUUAUCCGGGAUUUCUUGAAGGAAUCUGUCCAAAGACUUCUUGAACCCUAUAGGGUCAGUUUCUGUUUUAAUGUGUUUUGGUGUAAUGUUAAAGAGAGCGGGGCCAAUUGAGGUGAAAUAAUUGUGCCGUAUUGUUGUUAUGAGAUGAGAGUGCGAUUUUUGUUUUGGGCGGAUGGCACGGGGCCCAAGCCUUGGAUGUACCUUGAAGGUGAUGCCAACAUCAUUUGGGCAAUGCUGAUGGAAUAUUUUCCACAUCAUGCAGAUGAUGUAGCGCUCACGACGACGUUGGAGAGAAUAGAGUUUUAGCUUUUCUAGUCGACCCCAAUAGUCGAGGCCUGUCAUGCCAUCUAUCUUUUUUGCGAUUGCCCUUUGAGGUGCUUCGACUUGUAUGAUACCUUGUAUUGUGUGGGGAGACCACAGUGGACAACAGUAUUCAAGGUGGGGUCGGGCAAAAGUGGAGAAGAGAAGGAUAAUGGUGUGGAUAUCUCUCGACUGGAAAGUUCUGAGAAUCCAGGAACACAUUCUGCGGGCCAUGUCAACUUUGGUGUUUAUAUGAGUGGCCCAGCUUACGUUGUUGUCCACAAUUACUCCCAAGUCUCUGAUGUUGUUGGACGCCGCGAGAGUUUCACCUGAAGGAAGGGAGUAUGGGAGUUUCAGGGCAUCCUCUUUUCCAAAGUGGAUUAGCUCAAAUUUAUCCUCGUUCAGCAGCAUAUUGUUUUUUUCUGCCCAUUAUAUAUAUAUAAAUAUAUAUAUAUAUACAUACAUAUAUAUAUAUAUAUGCAUAUGUAUAUAUACAAACAUUUAUUUAUAUAUAUAUAUAUAUAUAUAUAUAUAUAUAUAUAUAUAUAUAUAUAUAUAUAUAUAUAUGAGCUGUCUUUGGCUGCUAUUCCUAAAUUUUCGGUAUGUGGUGAAGCAACUUGUUGCUUAACCAUUAAUUAUAUUUAUAUAAUACAUACAUACAUAUAUAUAUAUAUAUAUAUAUAUAUAUAUAUAUAUAUGUAUAUAUAUAUAUAUGUAUGUAUAUAUGUAUAUUUGUGUAUAUAUGUAUUUGUGUGUUUACAGAAUGGUAUACAGACAUACACACGCAGAUGGAUGGGUUGUAUGUAUGUAUUUACGUAUCGAUGUCGCCUUGUUCUUAUAUACGCAUCUGUUUAUGUAUAUAUGUAUACAUGAGUUGUAAACACACACGCACAUAUGUGUCGAUAGAUAUAUAGAUGCAUGUAUGUGUAUAUAUAUACAUACAUACAUACAUACAUACAUACAUACAUACAUAUUUAUAUAUAUAUAUAUAUAUAUAUAUAUAUAUAUAUAUAUAUAUAUAUAUAUAUAUCGACACACAUAUAUAUAUAUAUAUAUAUGUGUCGAUAGAUAUAUAGAUAUAUAUAUAUAUAUAUAUAUAUAUAUGUGUGUGUGUCGAUAGAUAUAUAGAUGCAUGUAUGUGUAUAUAUAUAUAUACAUACAUACAUACAUACAUACAUACAUACAUACAUACAUACAUACAUACAUACAUACAUACAUACAUACAUACAUACAUAUAAUAUAUACCUGUAAUGCAUAUACUUAUGAAUAGGUAUGAAAGUUGGGAAAAAGAAAGACUCAUGGGAUGUCGAUGGCGGCGAAGAUGAUGAAGGUAAGCGGGAAGAAAGAACAGAAGGUAUAGAAAAGAAAGAAAGAAAGAAAAAGUGAGAGCAAAAUAAAUUUCAAAAAAAUUAAAGAAAGGAACAAGGAAGCUGAAAAAGCCUUUGAUUAUAGUGUUUAAGUCUUCGUUAAUGAUCUAGGAUUCUAAUUAAUUAGUGAGAGAAAAACAAACUGUUGCAAUGAUAUAUUUCGGUUAAAAUAUAAAAUGUGUCUUUGUAAAGCUGUCGACAUAUUUAGGUUUAACACCACAGCUGGUGUUAUAUUGUGUAAUGUUGUUUCAUAUUCUUAUUUCUUUGUUGUAUUGAAGGAUAUUGAAAGAAGCUAAGAAAUAUGUAACAGAUCGGCAGGUUUAAUGCGUAAUGUAUGACUAGAGAGAGAUUGUUUGAGCGAAUGAGGAGUUGGUGAUUAGAUAGGGAUAUUGGUAAGUAAAGAUAGAAAGAUAGACAGGGAGGUACACAUCCAGACACACAGACAAAUAGACAGAUAGACAUAGAUAGAUAGAUAGAUAGAUAGAUAGAUAGAUAGAUAGAUAGAUAGAUAGAUAGAUAGAUAGAUAGAUAAAUAGAGAAAGAGAGAGAGAGGGAAAGAGACAGAGAGACAGAGAGACAGAGAGAGAUAGGGAACACACAGUCAUAUAGAUAGAUAGAUAGAUAGAUAGAUAGAUAGAUAGAUAGAUAGAUAGAUAGAUAGAUAGAUAGAUAGAUAGAUAGAUAGAUAGAUAGAUAGAUUGGCAGAAACGUUAACACGGCGGGCGAAAUGCUUAGCAGUAUUUCGUCUGUCGUUAUGUUUUGAGUUCAAAUUCCGCCGAGGUCGAUAAAUUAAGUACCAGUUAUGCACUGGGGUCGAUGUAAUUUACUUAAUCCGUUUGUCUGUCCUUGUUUGUCCUCUCUGUGUGUAGCCCCUUGAGGGCAGUAAAGAAAUAAGAUAGAUAGAUAGAUAGAUAGAUAGAUAGAUAGAUAGAUAGAUAGAUAGAUAGAUAGAUAGAUAGAUAGAUAGAUAGAUAGAUAGAUAGAGAAGAUAGACAGACAGAUAGAUAAGAACUUAUUUACUCAGGUUGCGGGAAAAAUUACCCAGGCGAUCGUAUUUGAUGGUUUGCAACGAGGGUCGACCUUCUUCAAUUUACUGUAAAUUAACACCUCCAUAUUAUUCACUUACUGCUGGCUCUCACGGUGGAGGACACAAUUAGAAGAACAAUUCUGAGGACAGCAGCGUAUAUAUGACUUCAGUAUUUUGUUUGCUUAUAAAUAUGUAUAUGAUUGAUGAUAGAGAGUAACCUAAAUAAUAUUGGAGUAAAAGAAAAAAUCUAUGACAAAGAAGAGCACCAGUGUAAUAGACAUAUAUAUACAUAUAUA
rnacentral:lncRNA from 1 species